UACAGGGGGGGCAAGCGUUGUUCGGAAUUACUGGGCGUAAAGGGCUUGUAGGUGGCCAACUAAGUCACACGUGAAAUCCCCAGGCUUAACCUGGGAACUGCGCUGUGAUACUGGAUGGCUUGAAUCCGGGAGAGGGAUGCGGAAUUCCAGGUGUAGCGGUGAAAUGCGUAGAUAUCUGGAGGAACACCGGUGGCGAAGGCGGCAUCCUGGACCGGUAUUGACACUGAAAAGCGAAAGCCAGGGGAGCAAACGGG
rnacentral:rRNA from 1 species